GACAGAGGGUGCAAACGUUGUUCGGAAUUACUGGGCGUAAAGGGCGCGUAGGCGGCACUGUUAGUCAGGCGUGAAAGUCCUGGGCUCAACCUGGGAACUGCGCUUGAUACGGCAGAGCUAGAGGAUGGAAGAGGCUCGCGGAAUUCCCAGUGUAGAGGUGAAAUUCGUAGAUAUUGGGAAGAACACCGGUGGCGAAGGCGGCGAGCUGGUCCAUUACUGACGCUGAGGCGCGACAGCGUGGGGAGCAAACAGG
rnacentral:rRNA from 1 species